rnacentral:rRNA from 1 species
GAACGGGGAUGCAUUAAGAAGGAGUGCUUGCAUUCCGGAAGGAUGUAUCUUAGUGGCGGACGGGUGAGUAACGCGUGGGUAACCUGCCCCAUACCGGGGGAUACCACCUGGAAACAGGUGCUAAUACCGCAUAAGCGCACGGAAGCGCAUGCUCCUGUGUGAAAAACUCCGGUGGUAUGGGAUGGACCCGCGUCUGAUUAGCCAGUUGGCAGGGUAACGGCCUACCAAAGCGACGAUCAGUAGCCGGCCUGAGAGGGUGGACGGCCACAUUGGGACUGAGACACGGCCCAAACUCCUACGGGAGGCAGCAGUGGGGAAUAUUGCACAAUGGGGGGAACCCUGAUGCAGCGACGCCGCGUGAGUGAAGAAGUAUCUCGGUAUGUAAAGCUCUAUCAGCAGGAACGAGACAAGACGGUACCUGACUAAGAAGCACCGGCUAACUACGUGCCAGCAGCCGCGGUAAUACGUAUGGUGCAAGCGUUAUCCGGAUUUACUGGGUGUAAAGGGAGCGCAGGCGGCGCGGCAAGUCAGAUGUGAAAGCCCGGGGCUCAACCCCGGGACUGCAUUUGAAACUGCCGGGCUAGAGUGUCGGAGAGGCAAGUGGAAUUCCUAGUGUAGCGGUGAAAUGCGUAGAUAUUAGGGGGAACACCAGUGGCGAAGGCGGCUUGCUGGACGAUCACUGACGCUGAGGCUCGAAAGCG